GCCGGCGUCGCUUAAUCGGUAUAGCGGGAAGUUGAUACCUUCCUGCCCGAAAGGGCUUCUGGGUUCGAAUCCCAGCGCCGGCG
rnacentral:tRNA from 1 species